GGGUAUAUGGUCUAGUGGUAUGAUUUUCGCUUCGCAUAUUAGAGUAUGCCAUUGUGAAAGGUCCCCGGUUCGAUCCCGGGUAUAUCCA
rfam:Chaetomium globosum CBS 148.51 scaffold_5 genomic scaffold, whole genome shotgun sequence.